rnacentral:rRNA from 1 species
CAGAGGGGGCAAGCGUUGUUCGGAAUUACUGGGCGUAAAGGGCGCGUAGGCGGCCUGCUAAGUCGAACGUGAAAUCCCCGGGCUCAACCCGGGAACUGCGUCCGAGACUGACAGGCUUGAAUCCGGGAGAGGGAUGUGGAAUUCCAGGUGUAGCGGUGAAAUGCGUAGAUAUCUGGAGGAACAUCGGUGGCGAAGGCGGCAUCCUGGACCGGUAUUGAUGCUGAGGCGCGAAAGCCAGGGGAGCAAACGGGAUUAGAUACCCCGGUAGUCCUGGCCCUAAACGAUGAAUGCUUGGUGUGGUGGGUAUCGAUCCCCGCCGUGCCGAAGCUAACGCAUUAAGCAUUCCGCCUGGGGAGUACGGUCGCAAGGCUG